rnacentral:rRNA from 1 species
AUGGUAUUAAAUGUUUUCUGUAUGAGUAAUUCCUUUUUGCUUGUGGUGUCAUUUUUUGUGCUAAUUUAUUUUGGAUUUUCUUUGUUUCAUGGCUAUUUUCUUAUGAUCACAAGUGACUUCUGGCAAAAGAUUGGGAACAAAGCUAUGCAAGAAUUAUUAUUUUUGGUCCUGUGGAAGGGACCAAACUGGGACCAAGAAGGUUUUGUUGCAUUGUUAUCCUUUUCUAACUCGGCCACACUAGGUUCAGUUCACUUGUCAUCAAAGCCACCGUCAACCAGUGGAACUUCAAGAAACUUCCUCUCUAAUUGUUAG